rnacentral:rRNA from 1 species
GAGCUUGCUCUUAUGAAGUUAGCGGCGGACGGGUGAGUAACACGUGGGUAACCUGCCCAUAAGACUGGGAUAACUCCGGGAAACCGGGGCUAAUACCGGAUAACAUUUUGAACUGCAUGGUUCGAAAUUGAAAGGCGGCUUCGGCUGUCACUUAUGGAUGGACCCGCGUCGCAUUAGCUAGUUGGUGAGGUAACGGCUCACCAAGGCAACGAUGCGUAGCCGACCUGAGAGGGUGAUCGGCCACACUGGGACUGAGACACGGCCCAGACUCCUACGGGAGGCAGCAGUAGGGAAUCUUCCGCAAUGGACGAAAGUCUGACGGAGCAACGCCGCGUGAGUGAUGAAGGCUUUCGGGUCGUAAAACUCUGUUGUUAGGGAAGAACAAGUGCUAGUUGAAUAAGCUGGCACCUUGACGGUACCUAACCAGAAAGCCACGGCUAACUACGUG